AUAGCUGGUUACUUGAUAAAAGAAUUUUAGUUCUACCUAAAGCCCUAGUAAAGUCUAAUAAACUAAUAUUUAUGCUUUAGAGUUAUUCAAUUAAGGUACAGCCUAUUUGAAUAAGGAAACAACCUAAACUAAUGGGUUAAAUUUUUACAGUGUACCAAAGUGGGCCUAAAAGCAGCCACCUUAUACAAUAGCGUCAAAGCUUUUCUACACAAGUAUAUUCAAUUUCACAGCCCAACCCAAACCCUUUAUUUUCAUCAAGAAAUCCUAUACACCUAUAGAAUAUAAAAUGUUAAAACUAGUAACAAGAAGUAACCCCUUCUCUUAAAUGUAAGUGUAAGCCAGAAAGGAUAAACCACUGUCAAUUAACACUAAUGAUUUUUAAUUAGCAACAUCACAAGAAAACCCUAAUAAAACAAGUGUUAAACUAACACAAGAACAUUUCAAGAAAGAUUAAAAGAAAAAGAAGGAACUCGGCAAAUACUAACCCCGCCUGUUUACCAAAAACAUCGCCUCUUGACAAAUAUAAGAGGUCCAGCCUGCCCAGUGACUUAGUUCAACGGCCGCGGUAUCCUAACCGUGCGAAGGUAGCGUAAUCACUUGUUCUUUAAAUGAGGACUAGUAUGAAUGGCAUCACGAGGGUUGCACUGUCUCCUUUUUUUAAUCAGUGAAACUAAUCUUCCCGUGAAGAAGCGGGAAUAUUACUAUAAGACGAGAAGACCCUAUGGAGCUUUAAACAAAUUAACACUUGCUGCCUAAGAUAACUUUUUCAGAAACACAACACACAGCAUAGCAUGAUGAUUAAUAGUUUUCGAUUGGGGUGAUCACGGAGUAAAAAAUAACCUCCAUGCCGAAAGGGCUCUUCCCUGAGCAAAAAGCCACAACUUUAAGCACUAAAAAAUUAACGUUUAUUGACCCAAUACUUUGAUCAACGAACCAAGUUACCCUAGGGAUAACAGCGCAAUCCACUUCAAGAGCUCCUAUCGACAAGUGGGUUUACGACCUCGAUGUUGGAUCAGGGUAUCCCAGUGGUGCAGCCGCUACUAACGGUUCGUUUGUUCAACGAUUAAAACCCU
rnacentral:rRNA from 1 species